CGCCCUCGCGCAUGCGCGGCCCAGGUCCGCGCGCGGCGGGCCUGGAGGGAGCCGAGGCGCGGAGGCGGGGCGGGUCUGCGGUGAACUCCCGGGGGCCACGGGCCACGCCACUCUGCCUCCUGCGCAGGGCCGGUGUCGCCCACGCCCGGCGUUGCCAAGCGCGACGUGGACCCCCUUUGUGUCCUGGGGCACUUGGCGGUCACAGCUGUGGUGUCUCUUCAUGGCUCUCGGUCCCACUUCGCGACCGUCCAGCCUGGGUGUCCUCAGUUGUCCUGACUGGGGUUUCUGGAGGGGCCAGCCCCAGAUUGUGAGGCGCAGGGAGUUCCAAGGUCUCCAUGGUAACUACAUGAUCUUGUCCCCUGGGCCCCGAUCCUGGCUCCUAAGGACGGAGCCGCUGUGGUGAGGCAGAGAGGAAUCCCACCCGCAGGACGGCCCGCGUCAACGGGGACCUCUCCGCGGAGCGUCCGAGCCGGGGCGCCGGCCCGAGGGCCCCCGCGGGAUCCUUGCGCUGAGCCGGCCGCCCCGACUGGGACAGCGGCCAGCCUGCGCCAAGCUUCAGGGGAGCGAGCUCCACCUCCCUGGUUCUCUACAGAUUUCCUAGAGCAGCAGAAAAUAAGCCGAUCUCAGGUGCCAUAGUAAGUCGUCCUUCCGCGACUCCCGGAAAUCAGUGCGGCCUGCUGCGUGUAAGCGCUCGUCAGGGGAAGCAGACCAUUUGUGCCAAAGGAGACCGAAACAGCCUGGUCCCCUAGACCCCUUUCUGAUGGUCCCGCUUGAUCCAGGCGUCAAACCUGGGAUAUCUGUAAGAAAGAAUAGACUGUAUCACGCUCAGAUAAUGUCCUUAAAGAUUGUGUAUAAAUGGUACGUACGGCUAAUAGGUUAAAGUUGUAUUUUCUGGCAAAUGUCUCCCCAUUUCCCUUUCACUGUUCCUACCACAUCACUUGCUGGAUCUGUCUGGUCAGGGACUCCAGUGAUCUUAUUAUGGCAAAUGCCGUGGAUCUUUAGUGCUUGCCUUCCGUGAGCAUUCUAUCCAGCUGACAAUGUCCAGUCUCUCCUAGAAUGUCUUCUGGGUUGGCUUCUGGUCUGUUCCUCCCUCGGUGAUGAUUUCUGUUCUGUCUUCUCCACGGAGUCGCCGUCGUCUUCCUGCCUGUCGUCAUCGCUGUUUCCCGGGUGUCCAUUCUUGCUCUCUUAUUGUCCUCACUCUCGUGCUCUUGCUGGCUCUCCUCUCCUCUCUGGGGUUGCACCUCUCCUCUCCUGUCUGUGGAUGCACUAUUUGCUGGGGUGCUUGUCCCUUUUGCUCCAGCCCGUACCUUUCCCUUACCUUAGACCCUAAUCGCCAGCCCUCUGCUUGACAUCUUUUCCAAAGGCCCCUCAAACUCCACAGGUCCCAAGGGAGCGUUUUUAUUUACAGUCCUCCCAUGGAAUAUUAUCAUCAUCCAGCUCGUCACUGCUGUCCUUUAAGUGUUGGGACUUUUGAAUUGUUAAUAUGUUUGUCUGUCUUUGCAGUUGAGGUAAAGAGCACCAAUCCUUUUAUUUGUUUGUUUAUUUAUUGAUUUAUUUAUUGUGAAUAUUCGUGAAAUACAAAGGUAUUUGUCGCCUCUUGUGCUCAUGAUGUGAGGGCCAGAUUCAUAGUGUGGACAUACGCACUAACAGAAAUUACUUUUGUACCCUGUAUCCCCUACCCAGUUGUCACCCAACCUAAGAGACAAAUCCUAAGUGCACAGCUUGAUGAAUUUUCAUAUCCUAAGUACGUGAAUUACUAUCAUCCCGAUCAAGAUGGGGGCAUUUUUUUUCAUUGCCAGAGUCUGCCUUAUGUUCUCUCUAGCCAUUAUGUUGAUCUCUGUUAAAAUAUAUUAGUGUUGUCUGAUUUUAAACUUCAUGUACAUAGAAACAUGCAAUCUAUAUUCUUUUGUGUCUGACUUCUUUUACUCAACAUUAUGUCUGUGAGAUCCCUCGUGCUGUUGUGUGUAGUGGUAAUUUGCUUUUUUUCCCUCUGUAUGAAAUAUGCUACGGUUUGCCCUUUGUGUUCUAUGUGCACAUUUGGGCUGUUUCUAAUUCUGGCUUUUGUACAUGCCUUUUGGUGUAUGUGCACACUUGAUUUCUGAGGGGUAGAAAUCCGGGAGUGGAAUCAGUGGGGUGUAGUACGUGCAUGUGUUUAAGUUCGAUAGAUCCUGCCAAACAGUUUUGCAAAGCAGUUGCACCCCUUGAGACUCUGGCAGCCGGGUGUGCGAGGUCCUGUUACACCACAGCCCGAUCCGCACUUAUAUUGUUAGUGAUGUUGUAUUUUUUUUGCUUUUUUAGUAUUAAGCAGGUGAGUGUAGUGUCGUCUCACGGAGGUUAUAAUUUGCAUCGCUGUAUUGACUGAUGAUGUAGAGCAUCUUUUCAUGCUUCCUGAUAAUUUUGAUAUCUUUUUCAAAGUGUAUGUUUCAGUCUUGCUCAUUAAAAAUAA